rnacentral:sRNA from 1 species
UAACAGAUUUAUGACUCUUGCAGCUCAUCAAGAAACCAUUCCCUCCGCUGCUGCUACUCGAUUUCCGUCUCUGCGGUGCUGAUUUAGCGGUAAUAGGGAUUCGAGGAAUCUGAGUAGGUCGGUUUCUUCUUACAGGACUUGUUGCACAUUCUGACAUAACAGAGAAAUCUGCUGCACUUGCUGUCACUAUGCUCCACUCUACGCUUACUUCACUUGGCGCAUAACACGUAGGUGAAGCUGGAUCACUUCCUUGCCUCGUAAGAAAAGGUUUAGGGUUCCCUGUAAGACCCUCUAUCUCGAAAAGAUCCGAGCUUGAAUCACUCCCUUCACUCUUUGUGUCGUCCUCCUCUGUUCUCGAUUUCCAUGGAGGCAAUGGUAGUUUCUUCUGAACAACACUACUCUUCUUCUCAAUAGCCACUGGAGAUCCAAA